AUGAAUAGAAACAAGUGCCUGUGAUUGAAAUCCGUUUUGACAAACUUAUUGAUUUUAUUAGAUACGCUCAACAUGAAAUAUACGGAGAUGCUUGUUGAAUUGAACAGACAACAGUGAAACAAUGUAUGGUUAUACAGAGAUAGAAGCUCUGGCAAAUACAUUUGACAUGGACCCUGAAACUCUCCUUAUUCAAUAACAGGACUUUAUAGCUCUUGUGUCAUCAGCAGAACUUACAGAUCGUUCCUUAUCUAGUCUGCUAGAGCUAUUUCAUUCACCUUGUCAUUAGGAUAAAAACCUAUUAUCUAUGUACCCUCUUGUUGCAAAACUAUUCAGUGUUGCAAUAUGACAUGUACAACCACUCAGUACAGCAGAGGUGGAGAAAAUAUUCUCUCAGGUCAAAUUGAUAAAGACAAGUCACAGGGCAAACUUGAAAACACAGACAUUAACAAAAAUAUUAACUGUAAAAUUAAACUGUG
rnacentral:lncRNA from 1 species